GAUCCUGGCUCAGGACGAACGCUGGCGGCGUGCUUAACACAUGCAAGUCGAACGGAGCGAAUGAAAGCUUGCUUUUAUGAGCUUAGUGGCAAACGGGUGAGUAACACGUAGACAACCUGCCGACAGGAUGGGGACAACAUUCCGAAAGGAAUGCUAAUACCGAAUGAAGUCAGAGGAGGGCAUCCUUCUCUGAUGAAAGAUGGCCUCUGAAUAUGCUAUCACCUGUUG
rnacentral:rRNA from 1 species